ensembl:lncRNA
AACAUGACGAACACACCACAAUAAAAUAAAAAAGAAACUACUGGCUGAUUCAGAUGUGAAGGUGGAUAUCCACACUCGCGUGUGCUGACCACAACCACCUUUGGAAGAAGGGGUCUCGAUCCCCUUCCAAACAGAGCGGUUUGUUUAAGUUUCCUGCACCUUUGGAUCAUUACCCACUUCCCUCUGCACUUACCUGGGUUUCCUCUGACACUGGUCCAACUCACUGCCUGCCUGAAUCUUACCUGCCAGCUGGUUCACUCAACUUCCUGUAAAGAAUCUGGAAACUCACCUGCCUACUACUCACUGUAACCAUCCACCACCCGGAAAAUAAGGUCGGACAUCUUUCUUCACUCGGUGCUCACUGUGCCACUGCCCCUGGAGAGUCACCCCUCUAUCAAUAGCCUUAGUUCACCAGUUUGCUAAUGGAUUCAGCCUCUGAAGUUUCCUCCCUUCUCCGU